CACAAAUGUGGUAUACACACGAUGAGCCUGGCAGGGAAGCAAAUGAGACCAGGCUUGGAGCUACAGGGAUUUAAAAAAAUUGGAUGUCUUUCUGAGGGUCUGAGAAGAAUAGGGCAGAAGAGGAAAGGGUCACUUUAGGGGUCUGGCUUAACCCACUGCCUAGAUCUCCAACUGAAGAGCUCCUUUCCCAUCCUCAGGGGAAGAGUGCCUGUUUUCAAACGGCAUCCCUACUACACAUAUACCCCCC
rnacentral:lncRNA from 1 species